rnacentral:lncRNA from 1 species
AGCAGGGUACCCUAUGAUGCAAGUGGAUGGUUGUAUAUCUGUUGUAAAUCAAACCAACUGUUCCCUUUUUCUGUACUGCAAUUGUGGUUAUAUUACUGGUUUAUAAAUUUGCAGAGAAAAUGCAUUUGCUGUACCCUAUAUCUGAGCUAACAUCGUUUGCUUUCCAAUUGCAGCUUUAGAUUAGGCGUUUAUGUCAAGUUUCAUUUUUUCUUAAUCCCAGUUUUGUGCUAAUUUUUUUUUUCUUUGAUGGGCAGUUGUAUUGCCGACUGAUGCAACCAUGUGCUGAUCUGCCGGCAGUGAGCGGGCAGAGUUGAGGGAAGGCGGCCAGCUGCCUGGCGGGUGCACCGGCGAGCACAACGUGGAAGAGCCUGACAGCCCGUCCACUACCAGCUUAGUUGCUGACUCUUUGAUUGUCGUGCUGCCCCGUGCAAUGGCCAGCUGGUGAAGGUAUUGUGCUUAAGUUGUAUUUCUCAUGUUUAUUGUAUCAACAGAUUGGCCAUUGGGUCCUUCCCAACUGAAUCUGUAGAAAGAAAAAACUACAAGGGAAGUACAUAUGAAGAUACUGCAGUUUGCAGUUAACAUCUCUUUCGCACUUUGUUUUCCCUUUGUUGCCACUCAUCGAUGCUUAAGUAAGCGCGAGGUUUCUUUUUGUUCUUGAGGUUCAAGUGGAAUCUAUUCAACUUUUGAACACAAAAAAUCAAUCUUGUUUGCUGCUGCAUAUAAAAUUACAGUUCAUGAAUGAGUUGUUGACUUGUGUGACCCUGUCAUCAGGGGAAGCCAUCGGAUUUAUAGGACUUUGUUGGCAUCACCACCAUGCUUGUUAUCACAAUCAGUUUCACUGAGGAAAAAACUGCCAGCGACGUCUGCCCCUGUGCUCAUCAAGGAUUCCACUCUCCCUCUCUCUGGUUUAUACCACUCCAUUCGAUUUUUUUAUUUGUUUGGUUGUACAACAUCAUUAUCUUAGAUAUUAAUGGCAAAAUGAUUGUUCAUUUCAAAUUGCAGUUGGCUGGUCCUGCCCAUGAAUAGGAUAAAUCACAGCCGUGGGGGUGCGCGGGUCCCAGCCAUGCGAUGUCCGGUUGUCGGAGCUUGACGCCCCAUGGGCGACGGUGCUGACCCACCCCCCU